GGCGCCUUCGGUGUCCGAGUUGUAAUUUGAAGAUUGUAACCUUGGGGUUGGCUCUUGUCUAUGUUUCUUGGAACAGGACGUCACAGAGGGUGAGAAUCCCGUGCGAUGAGAUGCCCAAUUCUAUGUAAGGUGCUUUCGAAGAGUCGAGUUGUUUGGGAAUGCAGCUCUAAGUGGGUGGUAAAUUCCAUCUAAAGCUAAAUAUUGGCGAGAGACCGAUAGCGAACAAGUACAGUGAUGGAAAGAUGAAAAGAACUUUGAAAAGAGAGUGAAAAAGUACGUGAAAUUGUUGAAAGGGAAGGGUUUGAGAUCAGACUCGAUAUUUUGUGAGCCUUGCCUUCGUGGCGGGGUGACCCGCAGCUUAUCGGGCCAGCAUCGGUUUGGGCGGUAGGAUAAUGGCGUAGGAAUGUGACUUUACCUCGGUGAAGUGUUAUAGCCUGCGUUGAUGCUGCCUGCCUAGAC
rnacentral:rRNA from 1 species